GCGGCCCCGGCCCGCCCCCCCGCCGCCUCCCCGGGGGGACACGCGCGUGUGUGCCCGCCGGCCGUGCCCGCCGCGGCCCGGAGCCCGUCGCUGCCACCCGGCGCGAACCAGACCCUCGGGGUGGCACGGAGGAUGCGGAAAACAAGGGCCAGGCUGACAAUCGCAACGGAUUCUCAGACCUCUGAAAUCUGCCUCUGCCUGGCAGGCCCCCGUCAUCACUGGCCUGAAUCAGGGCAGGGCCUCAGCUUGUCUCUGAACUGCCAUCCUCGCCCCCUAGAGUCCACCCUUUCUGCUGUGGCUAGAGGGCGCCUGUGAGCCCCUGAGUUAGGUCAGUCCCUCGUCUGCCCAAGGCCUUCCAGGCGCCCACUUCCCCCCAGACUGUGCGCCCCAGGAGGGCUGGGUUUUUGUCUGUGGAGUUCACGGCGGUGUCCCCAGGACCUAGAAAAGUGCUUGGCACACAGCCCCAGGAGGAAGGAGUAUUUACAGAUGGGGAAACUGAGGCCCAGAGAGGGAUGCCACUUGCCUGAGGUCACCUGGGCUGCCAACAGGACCUUUCUCAGCAAGGCCUGUGUGCAACAGGCCCUCAGUAGUGGAACCUUAACCUGGGUGUGGGCCCUGCUCGAACACCGUUUUAAUUCUGCCAGCUGGCUUCAUCCUUGCUGGUUGAACUCAUUCUACACCUGUGGAAACUGAGGCACGGGGGAAGGCGAAGUGAACGCCCUGUCCACGGGGCAGGCGAUGCUGCUCACAGGAUGCCCAGGCAGCAGGUUCUCACAGCCACAUAGCCCCACCAUCUGCUCCCAAACACCGCGAACCACACGGGCGCUCCCAUCCAACUGGCUGCCCCAAGACCGCCUCAGCCAGAGACACUAAAACCCACCUCCUUCCCCCUCUGAAGGCAUCUUUUCUGGAAUAUUCUGCUCAGUCACCAAUGUCUGAGGACAGGCUUAUUCAACUCUGACCUGAACUUUCUGGAUCCCCGACUCUGAGAAUUCUAGAACUUGCCCCCCUGGAUGUUCUAGAAACCAGCUCAAGACAAUCCCAGAGUCCGACCUUGGGCGCACAAAAACUCAGCGUAAGGAAUUCUGCAACCGGCCAUCAAUGGUCCAGAACACACUGGAGGAUUUCGUGGAUAUUAGUAAGACCAAUACUGGAUGAGACCACUGGUGACGGAUCUGGGAGCUUUAGAAUCUGUCCCCAUAGUCUCGAGAACCCUGCUUGGGAGAUGUGAGAGCUGUUCCCAGCUGCUGUGAAGAUUCUCCAUGAAGAAUGCUAGAACCCACCCCAGGAGGGUCUAGAACCCAACUCACAAAACUCUGAAGCUCGGCCGUGGGUAAGCAAAAAUUCUGGACUUUGCUUCUGGACACCCAGAAAUCCAACUGAGGAAAUUCUGGACCCUGCUCCUGGAUGGCCAAGAAUACACUUGAGGAAUUCUAGAUCAAGGAACCAGCUUUCGGGAUUCUGGCACCGUUUCUUGGGUGGAAAAAUAACCUAACUUCGAAGAACUCCAAGGCUCCCCCCCCCCCCCCAUAGCACAGUGGUUCUCACUGGGGUGAUGCUGCUCCCCAAGGACCCGGGGUGACGUCUGGAGAUAUUUUUGGUGGUUAGUGUCGGAGGAUGCUCCUGACAUCAAGCUAGGAAUGCUGCUUACCCCCCACCCCCACAGUGCCCAGGACAGCCCCCCACGGGGUCCGCAGUGUGACGAGGGAAAGCCCCAGGUGAGACCUUCUAGAACCCCCUCCUUGCAUUCUCAUAACGUGGGAGCUCUGAGAUCUGCCUGGGAAUACUCUAGAAUUCAGAUGUUCUAGAGCUGAGCUGCCCAACACGCCAUACGUCAGACUGAAUGCCUGAAAUGUGCCAGCUGGAAUGGAAAUGUGAGCGUGGAACACAUGUCGAAUUUCACAGGCUCGGGACAAAAAAAGAAUGUAAAACAUCUCAGUAACUGCUUCACAUCGAUUAUGUGUCAAAACGACAUGAUUUUGGAUGUCCUGGGUUAAAUAGAAGAAAUUGUGAAAAUUAAUUUCCCCUGUAGGUUGACACCUGUAAGUAUUAGAUACCAAGAAAAUGUUUAAUUAUGUGGUCCAUAA